CUACAUUUGGGUUGAGGUGAUCAUUCCAGACUUUGUGAGAGCCUGCGUCACCUUGAACCUUCCAAAGAGCAAGGCCCAGGGAAGAGGCCCCACGAGUCCCAGUCUAACGGAAGCAAUGGAAUCAAGAGUGAAGGGUGAUGUGCAAAGAGGCUCCUGCUUUCUGGGAACCCAACCUGCCACACCCUGUCUAUAAAGCCAUGGUCCUGCACCUGCCUCCCACUCUGAUGUCGUAUCUCAAGAAUCUUCCUCUGAGUCCACUUCAGCCACAUGGACCUUCUUUUGAUGCCUCAGAGUCUUCUCACUUGCGGGUCCCUUAGCCUGUGAAGACUUCUCC
rnacentral:lncRNA from 1 species